GAUGAACGCUGGCGGCGUGCCUAAUACAUGCAAGUAGAACGCUGAAGCUUGGUGCUUGCACCGAGCGGAUGAGUUGCGCACGGGUGAGUAACGCGUAGGUAACCUGCCUCUUAGCGGGGGAUAACUAUUGGAAACGAUAGCUAAUACCGCAUAAAAGUCGACAUCGCAUGAUGUUGACUUGAAAGGUGCAAUUGCAUCACUAAGAGAUGGACCUGCGUUGUAUUAGCUAGUUGGUGAGGUAACGGCUCACCAAGGCGACGAUACAUAGCCGACCUGAGAGGGUGAUCGGCCACACUGGGACUGAGACACGGCCCAGACUCCUACGGGAGGCAGCAGUAGGGAAUCUUCGGCGAUGGGGGCAACCCUGAACGAGCAACGCCGCGUGAGUGAAGAAGGGUUUCGGAUCGUAAAGCUCUGUUGUAAGAGAAGAACGAGUGUGAGAGUGGAAAGUUCACAAUGUGACGGUAACUUACCAGAAAGGGACGGCUAACUACGUG
rnacentral:rRNA from 1 species